rnacentral:tRNA from 1 species
GGCCCCAUAGUUUAAUGGAUAGAAUGGAGGAUUCCGGUUCCUUUGAUCCAGGUUCGAAUCCCGGUGGGGUCA